UACGGAGGGGACUAGCGUUGUUCGGAAUGACUGGGCGUAAAGCGCGCGUAGGCGGAUCAGGAAGUUGGGGGUGAAAUCCCGGGGCUCAACCCCGGAAUGGCCUUCAAAACUCCUGGUCUUGAGUUCGAGAGAGGUGAGUGGAACUGCGAGUGUAGAGGUGAAAUUCGUAGAUAUUCGCAAGAACACCAGUGGCGAAGGCGGCUCACUGGCCCGGUACUGACGACUGACGGCACGGAAAGCGAUGGGGAGCAAACAGGGAUUAGUAACCCGUGAGU
rnacentral:rRNA from 1 species